UUCUAAAGGAAAGAUCUGAGUACAUACUCAAAUCACUGAUUAAUAAGCUAUGUGGACAAAAAUGUAACAAGUAGUUGGCAAACAGGGUAAUAGGGAGAAACUCAGCACAGGUUGCACAAGUUGUAGCAAAGUUAAUCUCAAUUU